GACGAACGCUGGCGGCGUGCUUAACACAUGCAAGUCGAACGGAAAGGCCCUGCUUUUGUGGGGUGCUCGAGUGGCGAACGGGUGAGUAACACGAGAGUAACCUGCCCUUGACUUUGGGAUAACUUCAGGAAACUGGGGCUAAUACCGGAUAGGAGCUCCUGCUGCAUGGUGGGGGUUGGAAAGUUUCGGCGGUUGGGGAUGGACUCGCGGGUUAUCAGCUUGUUGGUGGGGUAGUGGCUUACCAAGGCUUUGACGGGUAGCCGGCCUGAGAGGGUGAACGGCCACAUUGGGACUGAGAUACGGACCAGACUCGUACGGGCGGCAGCAGUGGGGAAUAUUGCACAAUGGCGGGAAGCCUGAUGCAGCAACGCCGCGUGCGGGAUGACGGCCUUCGGGUUGUAAACCGCUUUCUCCUGUGACGAAGCGUUAGUGACGGUAAUGGGUAAAGAAGCACCGGCUAACUACGUG
rnacentral:rRNA from 1 species